UACGAAGGGGGCUAGCGUUGCUCGGAAUCACUGGGCGUAAAGGGCGCGUAGGCGGCCAUUCAAGUCAGAGGUGAAAGCCCAAGGCUCAACCUUGGAACUGCCUUUGAUACUGUUUGGCUUGAGACCGGUAGAGGUAAGUGGAACUGCGAGUGUAGAGGUGAAAUUCGUAGAUAUUCGCAAGAACACCAGUGGCGAAGGCGGCGAUCUGGGAACAUACUGACGCUGAGGUGCGAAAGCGUGGGGAGCAAACAGG
rnacentral:rRNA from 1 species